rnacentral:lncRNA from 1 species
GUAGAUUUGAAGCAUGUUUGUUGCAACCUGACAGUUGUGAAGCAUCAGAUGAAAAGAGAGGAAACAAGCUUCAGUGACACCCUGCAAAAAAGGGAGAAUGUUGACAGCCCAAAGAUUCAAAGAUGGGAGGAGAGAGAUCAUGAAGUGAAGUCACUAAUGGGAGAAACCAUCGCAAAAUCCUGGAGACAUGGGGCUUUUCUAGAGAAUUUUGAGGAGGCAACGUCACCCGAAAACUGAAAUGCAUAGUUGAAAUUUAACAAACUGCAACGAAUGAUCCAAGAGAGCAGAAACCAUGGCCAGCUCACACUGAGCAGGGGCAGUCCACCCACACUUAUUCCCAGUGAUUCAGGAAUUUAGGGCGCAGAGCCAAGAACAAAGCAGGACAUUGAAAAGAGCAUGUAGCAAGCACCCCCAAGAUUGGCCUUUCUCCUGUGGAACUCACUCAAUGUUCAGCCACCCCAUAGUCACAAAGACACAGGGAAAAUGAAGUCAGAAAACUAAAAACGUGACAGAGUAGUAGCUGAGGGAAAGGAAAGAAAGCUGAAUCAUGUCACACUGGAAGCGACUGCAAAGGGGAAAACCACGGGCCAAAAUGCCGGAGAGGCCAAUUUCCUCUAUCAGUGUCCACUGAGAAGGGGGAAGGGAGGGAAACGCAGAUUUCCCAGCAG